rnacentral:rRNA from 1 species
UCCGUAGGUGGAUAAUUAAGUCAGAGGUGAAAUCCUGCAGCUCAACUGUAGAAUUGCCUUUGAUACUGGUUAUCUUAAGUCAUUAUGAAGUGGUUAGAAUGUGUAGUGUAGCGGUGAAAUGCAUAGAUAUUACACAGAAUACCGAUUGCGAAGGCAGAUCACUAAUAAUGUACUGACACUGAUGGACGAAAGCGUGGGGAGCGAACA